rnacentral:rRNA from 1 species
GUAAUGUCUGGGAAACUGCCUGAUGGAGGGGGAUAACUACUGGAAACGGUGGCUAAUACCGCAUAACGUCGCAAGACCAAAGAGGGGGACCUUCGGGCCUCUUGCCAUCAGAUGUGCCCAGAUGGGAUUAGCUUGUUGGUGAGGUAACGGCUCACCAAGGCGACGAUCCCUAGCUGGUCUGAGAGGAUGACCAGCCACACUGGAACUGAGACACGGUCCAGACUCCUACGGGAGGCAGCAGUGGGGAAUAUUGCACAAUGGGCGCAAGCCUGAUGCAGCCAUGCCGCGUGUAUGAAGAAGGCCUUCGGGUUGUAAAGUACUUUCAGCGGGGAGGAAGGUGUUGUGGUUAAUAACCGCAGCAAUUGACGUUACCCGCAGAAGAAGCACCGGCUAACUCCGUGCCAGCAGCCGCGGUAAUACGGAGGGUGCAAGCGUUAAUCGGAAUUACUGGGCGUAAAGCGCACGCAGGCGGUCUGUCAAGUCGGAUGUGAAAUCCCCGGGCUCAACCUGGGAACUGCAUUCGAAACUGGCAGGCUUGAGUCUUGUAGAGGGGGGUAGAAUUCCAGGUGUAGCGGUGAAAUGCGUAGAGAUCUGGAGGAAUACCGGUGGCGAAGGCGGCCCCCUGGACAAAGACUGACGCUCAGGUGCGAAAGCGUGGGGAGCAAACAGGAUUAGAUACCCUGGUAGUCCACGCCGUAAACGAUGUCUACUUGGAGGUUGUGCCCUUGAGGCGUGGCUUCCGGAGCUAACGCGUUAAGUAGACCGCCUGGGGAGUACGGCCGCAAGGUUAAAACUCAAAUGAAUUGACGGGGGCCCGCACAAGCGGUGGAGCAUGUGGUUUAAUUCGAUGCAACGCGAAGAACCUUACCUGGUCUUGACAUCCACAGAAGAAUCCAGAGAUGGAUUUGUGCCUUCGGGAACUGUGAGACAGGUGCUGCAUGGCUGUCGUCAGCUCGUGUUGUGAAAUGUUGGGUUAAGUCCCGCAACGAGCGCAACCCUUAUCCUUUGUUGCCAGCGGUUAGGCCGGGAACUCAAAGGAGACUGCCAGUGAUAAACUGGAGGAAGGUGGGGAUGACGUCAAGUCAUCAUGGCCCUUACGACCAGGGCUACACACGUGCUACAAUGGCGCAUACAAAGAGAAGCGACCUCGCGAGAGCAAGCGGACCUCAUAAAGUGCGUCGUAGUCCGGAUUGGAGUCUGCAACUCGACUCCAUGAAGUCGGAAUCGCUAGUAAUCGUGGAUCAGAAUGCCACGGUGAAUACGUUCCCGGGCCUUGUACACACCGCCCGUCACACCAUGGGAGUGGGUUGCAAAAGAAGUAGGUAGCUUAACCUUCGGGAGGGCGCUUACCACUUUGUGAUUCAUGACUGGGGUGAAGUCGUAACAAGGUAACCGUAGGGGAACCUGCGGUUGGAUCACCUCCUUACCUUAAAGAAGC